GGUAACCUGCCCAUCAGAAGGGGAUAACACUUGGAAACAGGUGCUAAUACCGUAUAACACUAUUUUCCGCAUGGAAGAAAGUUGAAAGGCGCUUUUGCGUCACUGAUGGAUGGACCCGCGGUGCAUUAGCUAGUUGGUGAGGUAACGGCUCACCAAGGCCACGAUGCAUAGCCGACCUGAGAGGGCGAUCGGCCACACUGGGACUGAGACACGGCCCAGACUCCUACGGGAGGCAGCAGUAGGGAAUCUUCGGCAAUGGACGAAAGUCUGACCGAGCAACGCCGCGUGAGUGAAGAAGGUUUUCGGAUCGUAAAACUCUGUUGUUAGAGAAGAACAAGGAUGAGAGUAGAACGUUCAUCCCUUGACGGUAUCUAACCAGAAAGCCACGGCUAACUACGUGCCAGCAGCCGCGGUAAUACGUAGGUGGCAAGCGUUGUCCGGAUUUAUUGGGCGUAAAGCGAGCGCAGGCGGUUUCUUAAGUCUGAUGUGAAAGCCCCCGGCUCAACCGGGGAGGGUCAUUGGAAACUGGGAGACUUGAGUGCAGAAGAGGAGAGUGGAAUUCCAUGUGUAGCGGUGAAAUGCGUAGAUAUAUGGAGGAACACCAGUGGCGAAGGCGGCUCUCUGGUCUGUAACUGACGCUGAGGCUCGAAAGCGUGGGGAGCGAACAGGAUUAGAUACCCUGGUAGUCCACGCCGUAAAC
rnacentral:rRNA from 1 species